rnacentral:pre_miRNA from 1 species
AUGUAGUGUGACAUGCCUGUUGGGUUUUACUCUGAUGUUGAAUUAAUUAUUAUUUAAUUACUUUUGGGUAACGGGGUGUUACAUUUA